GACGAACGCUGGCGGCGUGCUUAACACAUGCAAGUCGAACGGAAAGGCCCUGCUUUUGUGGGGUGCUGGGGGGGCAACCGGGUGAGUAACACGUGGGUACCCUGCCCUUGCCUUUGGGUUAACUUCAGGAAACUGGGGCUAUUCCGGGUUAGGGGCUCCUGCUGCAUGGUGGGGGUUGGAAGGUUUCGGCGGUUGGGGAUGGACUCGCGGCUUAUCAGCUUGUGGGUGGGGUAGUGGCUUACCAAGGCUUUGACGGGUAGCCGGCCUGAGAGGGUGACCGGCCACAUUGGGACUGAGAUACGGCCCAGACUCCUACGGGAGGCAGCAGUGGGGAAUAUUGCACAAUGGGCGGAAGCCUGAUGCAGCAACGCCGCGUGCGGGAUGACGGCCUUCGGGUUGUAAACCGCUUUCGCCUGUGACGAAGCGUGAGUGACGGUAAUGGGUAAAGAAGCGCCGGCUAACUACGUG
rnacentral:rRNA from 1 species